UGGUACUGGGAAGAAGCCAAGGUUGUGUGUCGAGAACUUGGUUUUACCAAAGCUGUAAAUUAUUAUUUGUACUAUGGCCAUGGGGAGCAAGUUAAAGUCUGGCUGGACGAUAUGGCGUGUACAGGCUCUGAGACCUCACUUGGAGACUGCCCUCACCCUGGAUGGGGAGUUGUGAGCUCCAACUGUAAUGGUCACACUGAAGAUGCUGGUGUUCAGUGUUCUGGUUACACAGGAAACGCCGCCAGUAAUAUACGAUUGCUUGGUGUUUCUGGUAUUGUUCAGGUGUACCAUGGUGGAAAAUGGGGAACAGUGUGUGAUGAUUCCUGGGGUUGGGAUGAUGCCAAGGUUGCGUGUAGACAACUAGGUUUCAUCAAAACUGUAUAUCCUUGGUGUUGUGGACAUGGAGAGCAAGGUAAAGUCUGGCUGGACGACAUGGUGUGUACAGGAUCAGAGGCAUCACUUAAGGACUGUCCUCACGCUGGUUGGGGAGUUGUUAGUUCUUACUGCAACAAUCACAAUGAUGAUGCUGUUGUUCAAUGUUCUGGAUCGCAAGUCCGUCUACAGGGCGGAACUUACGAAAAUGAAGGUCGCGUCGAAAUCAAAUAUGGUACCUGGGGGAAUAUUUGUAGUAAUGGAUUUGGUACAAAUGAAGCUAAUGUUGUCUGCAAAAUGCUUGGAUAUCAAGGAGCAAUAACAGCAAAAAGUUAUGAUCAACUCUCUUAUACAGCAUGGCUGAAAGAUGUUUCAUGCCAUGGAAACGAAAAUUCAACCGACGAAUGUACUCACUCUAGCUUUGCAAGCCAAUCUUGUCCCAACAGCAAAAUUGCUGGAGUCGUUUGUUAUGCAAAAAAAGGUCACAUGCACACCCUUUUAAAGCAAGAUACAAACUCAAAGCACAGCCAGAUUGGUUGAUGAAGAAGUUCUUCAACAGUUUCAACCUUAGAGUCGCUAACUUGACUCCAACUGUCUAAGAUUUCCUAAUAAAAUUCAGCUUUAUCUGAUUGCGAUGGAUAUGGGGAGCAAGG
rnacentral:misc_RNA from 1 species